rnacentral:rRNA from 1 species
GAUGAACGCUGACAGCAUGCUUAACACAUGCAAGUCGAAGGGGAAGGGGUGCUUGCCCCCUGGUAACCAUGGCGGACGGGUGAGUAACGCGUAAGGAACUUGCCUGCGGGACUGGGAUAACAGCAGGAAACUGCUGAUAAUACCGGACAAGGUCAUUAAGCUGCAUCGCUUAGUGAUGAAAGGAGACGCCUGCGGAGGGCCUUGCGUCCUAUUAGCUAGUUGGAGGGGUAACGGCCCACCAAGGCGAAGGUAGGUAGCCGGCCUGAGAGGGUGGACGGCCACAAGGGGACUGAGAUACGGCCCUUACUCCUGCGGGAGGCAGCAGUGGGGAGUAUUGGACAGUGGGGGCGACCCUGGUCCAGCGACGCUGUGUGCACGAAGACGGUUUUCGGAUUGUAAAGUGCUUUCAGCAGGGAAGAAGGAAGUGACGGGACCUGCAGAAGAAGCGACGGCUAAUUACUU